CAGCUGAAGUCAUCUCAAGUCUGUGUUGCCUCCAGUUUCCUACCACAUGCUGUGGGACUACUGACCUCUUCAAGAUGCUAUCGCUCCCAUCACACUGUUCUCCAAAAGUUCGUAAGGUUGGAUGGUGGAGAGAAGGAAAUGUUCUCCUUGCUGCUCAAACCCCUGGUGGGCAACAGCAGUCCAGAGAUGAAGCUGCAAAUUCAAGAUUUUACUGAAUGUUCUGCUAUAAAGGAAGUCAGACAACAUAAAUACUAAUUUAAAUUGUUACCAAAUAUAAUUAUUCUUAAAGCUUACAUGUCAAGUUACAUCCUCAGAUUGCUUUAAAGACGUUUCCUGUCUACUGCUCAGUCUUCUUCCAAUUGGUUGGACCCCUUCCUCACACCAUAUACAAAAUUAAUUUGACAUGGACCAUAUACCUAAACAUAAAAGCUAAACUAUGAAGAUUUUGAAAGAAAAUACAUAGAAUAUCUUUGCAAACUUAGAACAAGCAAAGACUUCUUAAAGAUAACACAAGCAAUUCAAACUACUGAAGAAAAAAAAGAUAAAUUGGAUUUAUCAAAAUUAAACAUGUCUACUCAUCAGAAAAUAAUACUAUUUAGAAAAUUAAAAAUUCAAUAAACUGGGGAAAAUAUGUGCAAUACAGAUAUCUGACAAAGGAAUUUAUCUAAAAUUUGUAAAGAAUUCCUAUAACUGAUAACAAAAAGUCAAAUAACCCAAUUUUAAAUGAGCAAACCUUUAAUAGACAUUUCACAAA
rnacentral:lncRNA from 1 species